GACGAACGCUGGCGGCGUGCUUAACACAUGCAAGUCGAACGGUAAGGCCCCAGCUUGCUGGGGUACACGAGUGGCGAACGGGUGAGUAACACGUGGGUGACCUGCCCUGCACUUCGGGAUAAGCCUGUGAAACUGGGUCUAAUACCGGAUAGGACCGCACCGUGAGGGUGUGGUGGAAAGUUUUUCGGUGUGGGAUGGGCCCGCGGCCUAUCAGCUUGUUGGUGGGGUAAUGGCCUACCAAGGCGGCGACGGGUAGCCGGCCUGAGAGGGUGGACGGCCACAUUGGGACUGAGACACGGCCCAGACUCCUACGGGAGGCAGCAGUGGGGAAUAUUGCACAAUGGGCGGAAGCCUGAUGCAGCGACGCCGCGUGGGGGAUGACGGCCUUCGGGUUGUAAACUCCUUUCACCAUCGACGAAGGUUUUCUGACGGUAGAUGGAGAAGAAGCACCGGCUAACUACGUG
rnacentral:rRNA from 1 species